UUCAGCGAGCAUCAGGUAACCAAAACAGCGAGCGUGAUUGUGGGUUAAUUCUCUAUGGAUCCAAAAACAUGCAGAUUGAUUAAGUUUGUGGAUGUCAUUGUUCGUGCCUUUCUAUCAAACCAAAAGUGAUGGCGUGUACGUCAAAAUAACCGGUCGCUUGCGUGCCGAGCUCGGCGUGCCCGUAGUUGCAGCCUAUUCAUUGAGUGUGGUAACAAAUUUCAACGAUAUCACUCAUCAUUUCCUGGACUGCAUCUAUGUUCAUCUGAUGAUGCGAAGCGACCAUGCUAAACGCGUCGUGCACUCUCUUGCUCUCGUCCCAUUUGCCGCAUCCGCACGCUGGCUAGCACUGCACGCCGUGUCCCAGAGGUUGAUUAAAAUCAGAUCAAAUCGUGUAGUGUGUGUAGAGUCCAGAGUAGCAGGUUGCUCACCAUUCUUUUUUGUGAUCCAUGCCAGCGUCGUCUGAGUGUGAAGGCCGAGGAAGAAAAUCUCACUGAUAUGAUAAUGGGAUUUCUGGACCAGCCGGGGAUCAGCGCACUCGAGCAUGGAGUUAGUGUGAACCUGGUGGUGGAACGUCUUGGUAUACCAGAAUCAGAAGCAAGAUCGACGCUCGACAAGCUUGCUGAUCUCGGAUGCGUGUUACAGACAAUUGACGAUGACCACUUCAAAUCUUG